AGCGCAAGCGGGAAGACAAGUUGGAAGUGAAAACCAUGGGCUCAACCCAUGAAUUGCUUUCAAAACUGUUUUUCUUGAGUAGUGCAGAGGUAGGUGGAAUUCCCGGUGUAGCGGUGGAAUGCGUAGAUAUCGGGAGGAACACCAGUGGCGAAGGCGGUCUACUGGGCACCAACUGACGCUGAGGCUCGAAAGCAUGGGUAGCAAACA
rnacentral:rRNA from 1 species